AAGAACGCGGGAGGCGUCGACGCACGGUCCCCCAACCUCGUCGUCACGAUCGUGCCGAGCCAUUGACGAGACCGACCCGCGGUCAC
rnacentral:ncRNA from 1 species